rnacentral:rRNA from 1 species
GGGAGGUAGUGACAAUAAAUAACAAUACGGGGUUCUUUAGGAUCUUGUAAUUGGAAUGAGUACAAUUUAAAUCUCUUAACGAGGAACAAUUGGAGGGCAAGUCUGGUGCCAGCAGCCGCGGUAAUUCCAGCUCCAAUAGCGUAUAUUAAAGUUGUUGCAGUUAAAAAGCUCGUAGUUGAAUUUCGGGGUCAGCAAGUUGGUCGUGCCACUGGUAUGCACUGGCUUUGCUGAUUCCUCCUUCUUGUAGAACCGUAAUGCCAUUAAGUUGGUGUUGCGGGGAAACAGGACUGUUACUUUGAAAAAAUUAGAGUGUUUAAAGCAGGCCAACGCCUGAAUACAUUAGCAUGGAAUAAUGAAAUAGGACGUUCGAACCUAUUUUGUUGGUUUCUAGGAUUGACGUAAUGAUUAAUAGGGAUAGUUGGG